rnacentral:lncRNA from 1 species
UCUAGGGGAAUAAAGAUGGAAUGACUUCUAAUUUUUAGGUCCGUAUGGUUUGAAAUACUUGCACACAAACCGCCCGAAAGCAUUCCUAGAAAUCUCGGCCCAAAAAAUGACGUUUAGUAAUUCUAAAUGGGAAUACAAGAUGAAAAACAAUAGUUUUGGCAGUUAAAGUUUGAGAUUCGAUGGUGUCGUAGAUCCAUUUGGUCAUCAGGUGUUACGAGCCACACCCAUGUCUAGCUAGAAUAGUGUGUCAGGCUCAGGCUAGAGAAGAAACGGGGAACAAACUGAUGAAAGAAUUAUCAUAACGAGGGAAUUCACUCAGAACUAACAAGAAUGAUAACGUGCUCCGACUGGAGCGGUUUAGGAACUUCUGGAAGCCUCUAGGGGAAUAAAGAUGGAAUGACUUCUAAUUUUUAGGUCCGUACGAUUUGAAAUACUUGCACACAAACCCCAAGAAAGCGUUUCUGGAAAUCUCGGCCCAAAAAAGGACGUUUAGUAAUUCUAAAAGGGACUACAGGAUGAAAAACAAUAGUUUUGCCAGUUAAAGUUUGAGAUUCGAUGGUGCCGUAGAUCCGUUUGGUCAUCAGGUGUUACGAGCCACACCCAUGUCUAGCUAGAAUAGUGUGUCAGGCUCAGGCUAGAGAAGAAACAGGGUACAAACUGAUGAAAGAAUUAUCAUACCGAGGGAAUUCACUCAGAACUAACAAGAAUGAUAACGUGCUCCGACUGGAGCAGUUUAGGAACGGCUUGAAGGCUCUAGGGGAAUAAAGAUGGAAUGACUUCUAAUUUUUAGGUCCGUAUGAUUUGAAAUACUUGCACACAAACCCCGAGAAAGCGUUCCUGGAAAUCUCGGCCCAAAAAGGACGUUUAGUAAUUCUAAAAGGGACUACAAGAUGAAAAACAAUAGUUUUGGCAGUUAAAGUUUGAGAAUCGAUGGUGCCGUAGAUCCGUUUGGUCAUCAGGUGUUACGAGCACACCCAUGUCUAGCUUGAAUAGUGUGUCAGGCUCAGUCUAGAGAAGAAACGGGGAACAAACUGAUGAAAGAAUUAUCAUACCGAGGGAAUUCACUCAGAAUUAACAAGAAUGAUAACGUGCUCCGACUUGAGCGGUUUAGGAACAGCUGGAAGGCUCUAGGGGAAUAAAGAUGGAAUGACUUCUAAUUUUUAGGUCCGUAUGAUCUGAAAUACUUGCACAAAAACCUCGAGAAAGCGUUCCUGGAAAUCUUGGCCCAAAAAAGGACGUUUAGUAAUUCUAAAAGGGACUACAAGAUGAAAAAUAAUAGUUUUGCCAGUUAAAGUUUGAGAUUCGAUGGUGUCGUAGAUCCGUUUGGUCAUCAGGUGUUACGAGCCACACCCAUGUCUAGCUAGAAUAGUGUGUCAGGCUCAGGCUGGAGAAGAAACAGGGUACAAACUGAUGAAAGAAUUAUCAUACUGAGGGAAUUCACUCAGAACUAACAAGAAUGAUAACGUGCUCCGACUGGAGCGGUUUAGGAACUGCUGGAAAGGUCUAGGGGAAUAAAGAUGGAAUGACUUCUAAUUUUUAGGUCCGUAUGGUUUGAAAUACUUGCACACAAACCGCACGAAAGCAUUCCUAGAAAUCUCGGCCCAAAAAAUGACGUUUAGUAAUUCUAAAUGGGACUAUAGGAUGAAAAACAAUAGUUUUGGCAGUUAAAGUUUGAGAUUCGAUGGUGCCGUAGAUCCGUUUGGUCAUCAGGUGUUACGAGCCACACCCAUGUCUAGCUAGAAUAGUGUGUCAGGCUCAGGCUAGAGAAGAAACGGGGAACAAACUGAUGAAAGAAUUAUCAUAACGAGGGAAUUCACUCAGAACUAACAAGAAUGAUAACGUGCUCCGACUGGAGCGGUUUAGGAACUGCUGGAAGGCUCUAGGGGAAUAAAGAUGGAAUGACUUCUAAUUUUUAGGUCCGUAUGAUUUGAAAUACUUGCACACAAACCCCGAGAAAGCGUUCCUGGAAAUCUCGGCCCAAGAAAGGACGUUUAGUAAUUCUAAAAGGGACUACAGGAUGAAAAACAAUAGUUUUGGCAGUUAAAGUUUGAGAUUCGAUGGUGCCGUAGAUCCGUUUGGUCAUCAGGUGUUACGAGCCACACCCAUGUCUAGCUUGAAUAGUGUGUCAGGCUCAGGAUAUAGAAGAAACAGGGAACAAACUGAUGAAAG